rnacentral:piRNA from 1 species
UNCUGCUGCUGAAAGGAUCGGGUGAUAGC